rnacentral:rRNA from 1 species
AAUGAACGCUGGCGGCGUGCUUAACACAUGCAAGUCGAGCGAGAAAGCCCCUUCGGGGGUGAGUACAGCGGCGGACGGGUGAGUAACACGUGAGAACCUACCCUUUAGUGAGGAAUACUCUCGAGAAAUCGGGGUUAAUACCGCAUGAGUCCCUUCGGGGAGAAAGAUGGCUUUUAUGCUGUCGCUAGAGGAUGGGCUUGCGGACUAUUAGCUUGUUGGUGAGGUAAAGGCUCACCAAGGCUUUGAUGGUUAGUCGGCCUGAGAGGGUGUACGGCCACAUUGGGACUGAGAUACGGCCCAGACUCCUACGGGAGGCAGCAGUGGGGAAUAUUGCGCAAUGGGCGAAAGCCUGACGCAGCGACGCCGCGUGGAGGAUGAAGGUUUUCGGAUCGUAAACUCCUGUUAGAUGGGAAGAAAAAGCUUUGUCCUUUAAUAGGGACUGAGUAAUGACGGUACCAUCAGAGAAAGCACUGGCUAACUUCGUGCCAGCCGCCGCGGUAA